rnacentral:tRNA from 1 species
GGAGAUGUAGCAUAAUGGCAAUGCGAUAGCUUGUCGAGUUAUAGACUGUGGGUUCAACCCCCAUCAUUUCCG